UAGGGAAUCUUCCACAAUGGACGCAAGUCUGAUGGAGCAACGCCGCGUGAGUGAAGAAGGUUUUCGGACCGUAAAGCUCUGUUGUUGGUGAAGAAGGAUAGAGGUAGUAACUGGCCUUUAUUUGACGGUAAUCAACCAGAAAGUCACGGCUAACUACGUGCCAGCAGCCGCGGUAAUACGUAGGUGGCAAGCGUUGUCCGGAUUUAUUGGGCGUAAAAGCGAGCGCAGGCGGAAGAAUAAGUCUGAUGUGAAAGCCCUCGGCUUAACC
rnacentral:rRNA from 1 species